CCUACGGGUGGCAGCAGUGAGGAAUAUUGGUCAAUGGACGAGAGUCUGAACCAGCCAAGUAGCGUGAAGGAUGACUGCCCUAUGGGUUGUAAACUUCUUUUAUAUGGGAAUAAAACGUUCCACGUGUGGGAUUUUGUAUGUACCAUAUGAAUAAGGAUCGGCUAACUCCGUGCCAGCAGCCGCGGUUAUACGGAGGAUCCGAGCGUUAUCCGGAUUUAUUGGGUUUAAAGGGGGCGUAGGUGGAUUGUUAAGUCAGUUGUGAAAGUUUGCGGCUCAACCGUAAAAUUGCAGUUGAAACUGGCAGUCUUGAGUACAGUAGAGGUGGGCGGAAUUCGUGGUGUAGCGGUGAAAUGCUUAGAUAUCACGAAGAACUUCGAUUGCGAAGGCAGUUCACUGGACUGCAACUGACACUGAGGCUCGAAAGUGUGGGUAUCAAACAGGAUUAGAUACCCGAGUAGUC
rnacentral:rRNA from 1 species